GAUGAACGCUGGCGGCGUGCCUAAUACAUGCAAGUCGAGCGAACAGACGAGGAGCUUGCUCCUUUGACGUUAGCGGCGGACGGGUGAGUAACACGUAGGUAACCCACCUAUAAGACUGGGAUAACUUCGGGAAACCGGAGCUAAUACCGGCUAAUAUUUCGAACCGCAUGGUUCGAUAGUGAAAGAUGGCUUUGCUAUCACUUAUAGAUGGACCUGCGCCGUAUUAGCUAGUUGGUAGGGUAACGGCUUACCAAGGCAACGAUACGUAGCCGACCUGAGAGGGUGAUCGGCCACACUGGAACUGAGACACGGUCCAGACUCCUACGGGAGGCAGCAGUAGGGAAUCUUCCGCAAUGGGCGAAAGCCUGACGGAGCAACGCCGCGUGAGUGAUGAAGGUCUUCGGAUCGUAAAACUCUGUUAUUAGGGAAGAACAAACGUGUAAGUAACUGGGCACGUCUUGACGGUACCUAAUCAGAAAGCCACGGCUAACUACGUG
rnacentral:rRNA from 1 species